rnacentral:rRNA from 1 species
UAGGGAAUCUUCGGCAAUGGACGAAAGCCUGACCGAGCAACGCCGCGUGAGUGAAGAAGGUUUUCGGAUCGUAAAACUCUGUUGUUAGAGAAGAACAAGGACGUUAGUAACUGAACGUCCCCUGACGGUAUCUAACCAGAAAGCCACGGCUAACUACGUGCCAGCAGCCGCGGUAAUACGUAGGUGGCAAGCGUUGUCCGGAUUUAUUGGGCGUAAAGCGAGCGCAGGCGGUUUCUUAAGUCUGAUGUGAAAGCCCCCGGCUCAACCGGGGAGGGUCAUUGGAAACUGGGAGACUUGAGUGCAGAAGAGGAGGGUGGAAUUCCAUGUGUAGCGGUGAAAUGCGUAGAUAUAGGGAGGAACACCAGUGGCGAAGGCGGCGCUCUGGUCUGUAACUGACGCUGAGGCUCGAAAGCGUGGGGAGCAAACAGG